AGCCACGCAGUGAGCUCAUCGCGAACUAUUCUUUCGCCUUUUACUAAAGAAUACCGUGUUCUUGCUGCAUUAAGUGGUAUAUGUUUAUUUUUGGAGGGAGUUUCUCAACAGGAACUU